rnacentral:misc_RNA from 1 species
GCGGCUGGAUCCCCCCCUUUCUAGGGAGACUUGAGCGCCAGUCUGCGGACUGAAGCUCCACUCUAGAUGUUUGAAUGAAACCAAAAUCCGUGACGGUGUCACGGUUAUCUCAAACGCCUGACAGGGGUUUUCUAUCACUACUCAGCUGCUAAGGGUACAAUUGGGCCUGUAGCUCAGUGGUUUAGAGCACUGUGCUGAUAACGCAGGGGUCACUGGUUCGAAUCCAGUCAGGCCCACUCCCCCCCGAUAAGAAACGGGGAUGUAGCUCAGCUGGGAGAGCACCGCCUUUGCAAGGCGGGGGUCAGGGGUUCGAGUCCCCUCAUCUCCACUGAGAGUAGGCAGCAGGCAGCGAGGACAAGGACAAAGAUUUGGUCAAGAUUUCUGGCGGCAGCAGCUAACAUACGGAAGUGCGCAUUUUCAAAGGGAGGCUACAGCCCGGCGAAAUGCCGGGCUGUAUUGUCGAAAGGAAUCCAGGAAAGUUAGUUGCCAGCCGGUGCGUGUUCCUGAUUGCAAAAUGAGGAAUACCCACCGACCGACAACAGUCAGUCGGACAGCACCUUACCAAUUGAAUAGAAACUGCGAAUAAAUAUCGAUUUCUCCGCAUCACAAGUUAAGCUACUAAGUGCUUACGGUGGAUGCCUUGGCGUUCAAGUGCCGAUGAAGGACGUGGGACACUGCGAUAAGCCUCGAGGAGCCGUGAACAGGUGCCGAUCCGAGGAUGU